rnacentral:misc_RNA from 1 species
GAUGAAGAACGUAGCGAAAUGCGAUAAGUAAUGUGAAUUGCAGAAUUCAGUGAAUCAUCGAAUCUUUGAACGCACAUUGCGCCCCCUGGUAUUCCGGGGGGCAUGCCUGUUCGAGCGUCAUUUCACCACUCAAGCCUCGCUUGGUAUUGGGCAACGCGGUCCGCCGCGUGCCUCAAAUCGACCGGCUGGGUCUUCUGUCCCCUAAGCGUUGUGGAAACUUUCGCUAAAGGGUGUUCGGGAGGCUACGCCGUAAAACAACCCCAUUUCUAAGGUUGACCUCGGAUCAGGUAGGGAUACCCGCUGAACUUAAGCAUAACAAUAAGCGGAGGA